rnacentral:rRNA from 1 species
AUUGAACGCUGGCGGCAGGCCUAACACAUGCAAGUCGAGCGAGCGGCGGACGGGUGAGUAAUGUAUGGGGACUGCCCGAUAGAGGGGGGUAACUACUGGAAACGGGAGCUAAUACCGCAUACUAUCGGAUAACCCAUAUGGGAUUCGCUAGUAGGUGAGGUAAUGGCUGACCUAGGCGACGAUCCCUAGCUGGUCUGAGAGGAUGAUCAGCCACACUGGGACUGAGACACGGCCCAGACUCCUACGGAGGCAGCAGUGGGGAAUAUUGCGCAAUGGGCGCAAGCCUGACGCAGCCAUGCCGCGUGUAUGAAGAAGGCCUUAGGGUUGUAAAGUACUUUCAGUCGGGAGGCGUUACCGACAGAAAAAGCACCGGCUAACUCCGUGCCAGCAGCCGCGGUAAUUC